rnacentral:rRNA from 1 species
UAGCAAUACUAACUGAGUGGCGAACGGGUGAGUAACGCGUGGGUGACCUACCUUCGAGUGGGGGAUAACGUCCCGAAAGGGACGCUAAUACCGCAUGACAUCCUGUCCUUGAACGGAUGGAGAUCAAAGCUGGGGAUCGCAAGACCCGGCGCUUGAUGAGGGGCCCGCGUCCGAUUAGCUAGUUGGUGAGGUAACGGCCCACCAAGGCGACGAUCGGUAUCCGGCCUGAGAGGGCGGACGGACACACUGGGACUGAGACACGGCCCAGACUCCUACGGGAGGCAGCAGUGGGGAAUUGUUCGCAAUGGGCGCAAGCCUGACGACGCAAUGCCGCGUGGAGGAUGAAGGUCUUCGGAUUGUAAACUCCUGUUGCCAGGGACGAAUGGCUCCGACCUAAUACGUCGGAGAAUGACGGUACCUGGUGAGGAAGCCCCGGCUAACUCUGUGCCAGCAGCCGCGGUAAUACAGAGGGGGCGAGCGUUGUUCGGAAUUACUGGGCGUAAAGGGCGCGUAGGCGGCCUCUUAAGUCGAACGUGAAAUCCCCGGGCUCAACCCGGGAACUGCGUCCGAUACUGGGGGGCUUGAAUCCGGGAGAGGGAUGUGGAAUUCCAGGUGUAGCGGUGAAAUGCGUAGAUAUCUGGAGGAACACCGGUGGCGAAGGCGGCAUCCUGGACCGGUAUUGACGCUGAGGCGCGAAAGCUAGGGGAGCAAACGGGAUUAGAUACCCCGGUAGUCCUAGCCCUAAACGAUGAAUGCUUGGUGUGGCGGGUAUCGAUCCCUGCCGUGCCGAAGCUAACGCAUUAAGCA